rnacentral:rRNA from 1 species
GAUGAACGCUGGCGGCGUGCCUAAUACAUGCAAGUCGAGCGAACGGACGAGAAGCUUGCUUUUCUGAUGUUAGCGGCGGACGGGUGAGUAACACGUGGAUAACCUACCUAUAAGACUGGGAUAACUUCGGGAAACCGGAGCUAAUACCGGAUAAUAUUUUGAACCGCAUGGUUCAAAAGUGAAAGACGGUCUUGCUGUCACUUAUAGAUGGAUCCGCGCUGCAUUAGCUAGUUGGUAAGGUAACGGCUUACCAAGGCAACGAUGCAUAGCCGACCUGAGAGGGUGAUCGGCCACACUGGAACUGAGACACGGUCCAGACUCCUACGGGAGGCAGCAGUAGGGAAUCUUCCGCAAUGGGCGAAAGCCGGACGGAGCAACGCCGCGUGAGUGAUGAAGGUCUUCGGAUCGUAAAACUCUGUUAUUAGGGAAGAACAUAUGUGUAAGUAACUGUGCACAUCUUGACGGUACCUAAUCAGAAAGCCACGGCUAACUACG